GGGGUAUUAAUGUUCUGGACCAACAGUCUUCCAUUGUUUCUGUAUGAGUAAGAACUCUAUGAAUAAAUGAGGCAUAAUUUUUUCUCAUCCUGGAGAACUCACCUCUGAGCAAUGUGGAUGGAAAACUGUCAAGGAGAAGCUAAACCGAAGUUCCUUCGACAAUGUCUGGAAUGUAGAGGGACCAAUUUGAGUUUGGCAGUUUUGGGCUGGACUCCUCAUAAUCACUAGUGCUCCUUCAUUUCCAGAUUCAGGACUAAGCUGAAGCCUUUCACUUCCUCAAAUGCUUCUUUGACUUUCCUUACUUCCUCCAGUUAAAAAUGGCUAUACUUUUGGGUUUGAAUGGGGAUAGCCAUUCACAUUAAACAUCCAUUAUUACUUA